rnacentral:rRNA from 1 species
CCGCGAAUCGCCCUUCGGGGUGCACCAGGCGCGAAAACUUUACAAUGCUGGCAACAGCGAUAAGGGGACCUCGAGUGCCAGGAUACAAUCUUGGCUGUCGCGAUGCCUAAAAAGCAUUGCAUAGCAAGGGCCGGGCAAGACCGGUGCCAGCCGCCGCGGUAACACCGGCGGCUCGAGUGGUAACCGCUAUUAUUGGGUCUAAAGGGUCUGUAGCCGGCCGGAUAAGUCUCUUGGGAAAUCCAGCAGCUCAACUGUUGGGCUUUCAGGAGAUACUGUUCGGCUCGAGGCCGGGAGAGGUGAGAGGUACUUCAGGGGUAGGGGUGAAAUCUUGUAAUCCUUGAAGGACCACCAGUGGCGAAGGCGUCUCACCAGAACGGACCUGACGGCAAGGGACGAAAGCUAGGGGCACGAACCGGAUUAGAUACCCGGGUAGUCCUAGCCGUAAACGAUACUCGCUAGGUGUCAGCCACGGUGCGACCGUGGUUGGUGCCGUAGGGAAGCCGUGAAGCGAGCCACCUGGGAAGUACGGCCGCAAGGCUGAAACUUAAAGGAAUUGGCGGGGGAGCAC